AGAUUGAACGCUGGCGGUAGGCCUAACACAUGCAAGUCGAACGGCAGCACAGUGGUAGCAAUACCAUGGGUGGCGAGUGGCGGACGGGUGAGGAAUACAUCGGAAUCUACCUUUUCGUGGGGGAUAACGUAGGGAAACUUACGCUAAUACCGCAUACGCCCUUCGGGGGAAAGCCGGGGAUCGCAAGACCUGGCGCGGAUAGAUGAGCCGAUGUCGGAUUAGCUAGUUGGUGAGGUAAUGGCUCACCAAGGCGACGAUCCGUAGCUGGUCUGAGAGGAUGAUCAGCCACACUGGAACUGAGACACGGUCCAGACUCCUACGGGAGGCAGCAGUGGGAAUAUUGGACAAUGGGCGCAAGCCUAGAUCCAGCCAUACCCGCGUGGGUGAAGAAGGCCUUUCGGGUUAGUAAACGCCCGUUCGUUAGUUAGGAAAGAAAAGCGAAGUUACGGUUAAUACCCGGUUAGUUCGUGAACCGGUACCC
rnacentral:rRNA from 1 species